CGCGAGAGUUCACCUGCGAGCAGCGCGAGAGUUCACCUGCGAGCAGCGCGAGAGUUCACCUGCGAGCAGCGCGAUUUACAAAAUGGUGCCGGUGGUGCUUCUUGCUGAUUUCUGUUGAGACAUUUCUCCUCGGCGUGAAAGCAAACCUCGUCAUUAUUUCUCAACGCGCGGGAGUAAACCCUGCUCCAUAGGCCCUGAUGUAUAUAUCAGACCGGAUGUGACGCAUCGGAGCCAGGUAAAGGUCAGAACAGAACUAUGAAGGUAAAACAUGCCGAAAGGAGGAAAAAGCCGUCAGAGAGUGGAUCUGACCUGGAGGAUUACAGUGGAAUGGAUUGUUUGGUGACAUCAUUACCUGUAAAAGUUAGAGGUGUUACAGAAUUCUGGGUUCUGAUUUUUCAUAAGGUGUUGAUUUUUUUUUGAAGAAGAAGUGAGGAGACGUUUAUUUAACAUUUAUGGGAGGAGUCUCCAGUGUCAGCGCUUUGGAACAGUCUGAGGUCAGCGUCUCUCCAUCACGCCUCAUCAUUCCUCACUUCCACUGAACGAGGGCGCCUCUCUAGGGGACGUCUCUAGGGGAGGAAUAUUUGAACAGAUGAAUUGAGGACCGUCUCUCUUGGGAGUCCUGGAUUUUCUGAGCGAGCAAUAGAGAAAGAAGAGCAAAAAGGGAAUUGAAGAGGGAGGAAGUGAGAGAUAAAGAAUGGAGAGGGGUAAUGACUUCACAGAGACCCAUCAUCACCACCCCUUAUUCCCUCUGAGGCUGAAUAGUGAACGAGGGCAACUCUCCAGGGGACGAAAAUUCGAACAGAUGUGUCGAGGUCUUUCUGAAAAGAGAGGAACUCGAGUGAUUCUGUUUGUUCUGGGCCUCUAGCUGCAGGUCCUGUUUGCUCAGUUCCUGAUUGCUAAGUGGACCAUAAAGUCUGAUUCGGUUCAUCAUUGAUUCAAAUGUUUUUAACCCUAAACAAGCUGUUUAAAUUUUUUUUUAAUGAUGUUGAAAUCUCAGUUCUCUCUCUCGCUCUCUCUCUCUCUCUUCAUUCUCUCGCUCUCUCUUCAUUCUCUCCCUGGUUUUGAUUGAUUUAUUUUGUGGGUUUUUUUUUUCUUCUUCCAUUUUUUAAUUAAAUAUCUUAUCAGCCUUAAAAUUGACUAUUAAUCCAUAAUUGAAGUAGUAAUAAUAAAAUAAUAAAAAAAAACUUGUACACUGUA